rnacentral:lncRNA from 1 species
GUAUGAAGUCUCAAGAAGAGAGCGAGACAGGAAGCCUCAUGGGUGUAGCUGAAAGAGACAGAUGUGAAUACCUUUAGCUACAUAUUGGAGUUUGGCUCCUCUCAUUAGCCAAAGGUCUUUGCUGCCUUUAUACCUGCUUUGGAGACUAUAGAAAUGAGUUAUUGUUGUCAACUGCUCUGUAGCUGGCAGGAAUCCACAUUAAUCACCAUACAGUGCCUGCUGAUGAUCUCAGAAGAAAGGGCAAUGAAUAGACAUCGCACUUUGAACUAGUGUGACAGUUAGCAGCCAUCUGUAAAUUGAUGCAGAUAACUUCAGAAGACUAUGGCUGGCUAACAUGAACGUGAACCUCACUGAAGUCAAUGGAGUGGCUCAACCAUCACAGGAGUUCUGUCUGGAAGAGGUCACAACCUCCUUGAAAGUUGAAAGAGCUUUAAAAAACCAGACAUUCAUGUCAGCUAUUGAAGUAAGAAUGUCAAAGGACUCCAAGUGGUGUUCAAGAUCAAGGACCUUAGAAUCAUAGCAUGCAGGAGCCAUGUAAACACUUUGACAUAGUCAGAGGAUGAAUUGAGGCAGCUUUUUGGUGAUUAGAAAAAAAAAUAAACUACAAGAAAAGCACA